AGAUUCUCGCAAAUGUGGAAGCGGAUCGCGUGGAGUGACGGUCACACCGCGGCGAAUUAAUUUCCAAAGACUCAUGUUACAUGAGAAAGCCACCAAGAAGACCAAAGAAAAGGAGACAAGGAUGGCUCUUCCUCAGGGAUGCUUGACUUUCAGGGAUGUGGCUAUAGAAUUCUCUUUGGAGGAGUGGAAAUGCCUGAACCCUGCACAGAGGGCUUUAUACAGGGCCGUGAUGUUGGAGAACUACAGGAACCUGGAGUCUGUGGAUAGCUCUUUAAAAUCCAUGAUGGAGUUCUCAUCAACAGGGCACGGUAAUACAGGAGAAGUGAUCCACACAGGGACAUUGCAAAGACAUAAAAGUCAUCACAUUGGAGAUUUUUGCUUCCCAGAAAUCAAGAAAGAUAUUCAUGACUUUGAGUUUCAGUGGCAAGAAAUUAAAAGAAAUGGCCAUGAAGCACCCAUGACAAAAAUCAAAAAGUUGACUGGUAGUACAGACCGAUGUGAUCAAAGACAUGCUGGAAACAAGCCUAUUAAAGAUCAGCUUGGAUCAAGCUUUUAUUCACAUCUGCCUGAACUGCACGAGUUUCAGACUGAAGGGA
rnacentral:sRNA from 1 species